AAUCAACGCUGGCGGCGUGCCUAACACAUGCAAGUCGAACGCGAAAGCCCCUUCGGGGGUAAGUAGAGUGGCGUCCGGGUGAGUAACACGUAGGUAAUCUGCCUUCGGGUGGGGAAUAACCAGUCGAAAGAUUGGCUAAUACCGCAUAAUGCAGCGGCACCUAAUGGUGAUUAGUUGUUAAAGCGGGGGAUCGUAAGACCUCGCGCCUGAAGAGGAGCCUGCGGCAGAUUAGCUAGNGGUGAGGUAAUGGCUCACCAAGGCUUCGAUCUGUAGCUGGUCUGAGAGGACGGCCAGCCACACUGGCACUGACACACGGGCCAGACUCCUACGGAGGCAGCAGUGGGGAAUUUUGGGCAAUGGGCGAAAGCCUGACCCAGCAACGCCGCGUGAGGGUGGAAAUCCUUCGGGAUGUAAACCUCACAA
rnacentral:rRNA from 1 species